GGUUCAGUGGUCUAGUGGUUAUGAUUUCUGUCUCACAUUGAGCCCAAUUGGCGAACACAGAAGGUCCCCGGUUCGACCCCGGGCUGUACCA